CCACGCCGUAAACGAUGGGCACUAGAUGUUGCGGGUAACCACUCCUGCAGUGUCGCAGCUAACGCAUUAAGUGCCCCGCCUGGGGAGUACGGCCGCAAGGCUAAAACUCAAAGGAAUUGGACGGGGGCCCGCACAAGCGGUGGAGCAUGUGGUUUAAUUCGACACAACGCGAAGAACCUUACCUAGGCUUGACAUCCCGAUCGCACUCUA
rnacentral:rRNA from 1 species